rnacentral:rRNA from 1 species
GGACAGGGUUCGCUGUCUGAGCCGCUUCCGGCUCAUUCUAGAGGCCUCUCGCCGCCGUCGAAGACAAAUACGCAGGAGAGGUCACCGGGGCCGCUUUAGCGUGGUGCCGCGCGGGUUCUGUCGCUUUUGCUUCACCGUUGGCCUAGCUGCGGAUGGACACUGAGGGAAUGGAAUUCCUACUGGAUGUGGUCGACAGGUUCCCAGUGCGGGAGGAGUAUGCAGAUAAUGUUGACCAUCCGGAUCCAGUCUUGCUCAUGUACCUUCUGGAUAAGGGGGCUGCGAGUCCGGAGAUUGGUCAGGCAGACGUUGAUUCUGGGGUAGCUGAGAUGGUGUGCGGAGGUGUGCUAACUGACGCUGAAGUAGGUGCCCCCCGUAGACGUGAUGAAUCUCCGACGAGGUCUGCCCAAUCAUCGGGCAGAGUCAAUCCACAGGCCCCGGCUGGACUAAGAGGGGAAACCAGACGCUGAAAACAGCAGGUCCUGCAGGUGCAAGUGCCCAGCUCUGAUUAGGCUGCUAUGUGCAUCAGACAACAGUUGGUACAUAACAGAGCACCGGGCGAGCCACAAUCAUUCGAUGUCGCUUACAAUGGGAGAGAAAGUGCAUUGGCCGUCUCAUAAACACAUAGAUGUGUAUACCAAGGAUUUGAUAAGAUAGUUGAGGGAGAACAACAUCAACCUUGGCAAGGUAUACAACAUAAUUGGAAUCUUCUUUGGUUCAGUUGAGAAGGUGCCCUUCACGAAAAGGACACUCAGGAACAUUUGUGGGAAGAUUAGUCGUGAACAGGCUGAAGAUGAAUUACGGAAGACACUGCAGGUGUUUGCCGACAUCUGGUCGAGUGACCCUGGUUUCUCCUAUGUGGUGCUCGCCGAGAAAGACAGCAAGGUGAAGAAUCUCAUGUGGGCUAAUGGGAGCAGACGGAUGCAGUACAGGUUCUUUGGCGACGUGGUCACAUUCGACACCACAUACAGGACAAAUUUGUACGACAUGCCAUUAUGUUUAUUUGUCGGAGUUAACAAUCACUACCAGAGUAUCAUCCUAGCUGGCGUGCUGAUGUGUGACGAGCAAGAAGAGAGCUUUGAAUGGGUGUUUUCAGAAUUCAUUCGCAUGAUGGGCGGACCUGCACCUAAAACAAUACUAACAGACCAAUGCAGGGCUAUGGAGGUUGCAAUCAAGAAAAUUCAUCCGAACACUGUCCACCGUUUGUGCAAGUGGCAUGUUCUGAAAAAGGCGAAAGAAACACUGGGGUGGCUUUACACAAAAAAAUGUGAUUUUCAAGCUGAAUUUCACAAAGUUGUUAACCACAUGCUAACUGAGGAAGAAUUUGAAUCAGCCUGGGAUGCGCUGCUUGAUAAAUACAAUUUGAGGGGGCAUAACUAUAUGACCCAAAUAUAUGAGACAAGACAUAAAUGGGCGAAACCAUAUUUCAGAGGUGUGUUUUGUGCGAAAAUGACGAGUACACAGAGGAGUGAGAGUGCAAACCACAUGCUGAAGACGGACAUGCCCCCUGCAAGCCCAAUGCAUGUUUUCGUCUGACAAUACAUGAGACUUCAAUUUGACCGGAAGCGCGAUGAAAGCUAUGAGGAAAAGAGGACAAUGAUUGGCGGCGUCGUGUGGCGGACUAACCUUGCGAUAGAGCGCCAUGGCAGCAAAAUAUAUACUAGGAAUAUGUUUGAGAAAUUUGGCCGCCUACUGGUAGAAGGAACCGCAGAGUUUUGUUGUCCUUAUUUGAAACGACGCAGAGUUGUGUCGUUGAGCACAUGUAAGGUUAUAUGCUUUUCUGAACAAUUUGUUAGCUAAACUGAAUUUUACUCCUGGCUGUAUGAUAUGAUAAGAAAUUGUAACCAUUUGUGUUCUUGAAAUGUUUAUGGUUGUCUGCACAAUUUGAUAACUGAAGAAAAUUUCACAGCAUGUCUAUCCUUGGCCAUGUAUAAUUUUUAUGGAUGUCUGAACAAUUUGAAUGCUAAAAUUAAAGUUACAGUGGUU